GUGUCAGCCGCCGCGGUAAUACGUAGGGUGCGAGCGUUGUCCGGAAUUAUUGGGCGUAAAGAGCUUGUAGGUGGCUCGUUGCGUCGGGAGUGAAAACCUGCGGCUUAACCGCAGGCCUGCUUCCGAUACGGGCGAGCUAGAGUUCGGCAGGGGAGACUGGAAUUCCUGGUGUAGCGGUGGAAUGCGCAGAUAUCAGGAGGAACACCGGUGGCGAAGGCGGGUCUCUGGGCCGAUACUGACACUGAGAAGCGAAAGCGUGGGGAGCGAACAGGAUUAGAUACCCUCGUAGUCC
rnacentral:rRNA from 1 species